UGGCGGACGGGUGAGUAACGCGUAGGAAACCUGCCGUAUACUGGGGGAUAACACUUAGAAAUAGGUGCUAAUACCGCAUAAGCGCACAGCUUCGCAUGAAGCGGUGUGAAAAACUCUGGUGGUAUACGAUGGUUCCGCGUCUGAUUAGCUAGUUGGUGGGGUAAUGGCCUACCAAGGCAACGAUCAGUAGCCGGCCUGAGAGGGUGAACGGCCACAUUGGGACUGAGACACGGCCCAAACUCCUACGGAAGGCAGCAG
rnacentral:rRNA from 1 species